rnacentral:rRNA from 1 species
AGAGUUUGAUCUGGCACAGAGCGAACGCUGGCGGCAGGCGUAAUACAUGCAAGUCGAGCGCCGUAGCAAUACGGAGCGGCAGACGGGAGAGUAACACGUGGGAACGUACCCUUUCAGUUCGGAACAACCCAGGGAAACUUGGGCUAAUACCGGAUACGUCCGUAAGGAGAAAGAUUUAUCGCUGAAGGAUCGGCCCGCGUCUGAUUAGCUUGUUGGUGAGGUAACGGCACACCAAGGCGACGAUCAGUAGCUGGUCUGAGAGGAUGAUCAGCCUCACUGGGACUGAGACACGGCCCAGACUCCUACGGGAGGCAGCAGUAGGGAAUAUUGGACAAUGGGCGCAAGCCUGAUCCAGCCAUGCCGCGUGGGUGAUGAAGGCCCUAGGGUCGUAAAGCCCUUUCGGCGAGGAAGAUAAUGACGGUACCCGCAGAAGAAGCCCCGGCUAACUUCGUGCCAGCAGCCGCGGUAAUACGAAGGGGGCUAGCGUUGCUCGGAAUCACUGGGCGUAAAGCGCACGUAGGCGGCUUUUUAAGUCAGGGGUGAAAUCCUGGAGCUCAACUCCAGAACUGCCCUUGAUACUGAGAGGCUCGAGUCCGGGAGAGGUGAGUGGAACUGCGAGUGUAGAGGUGAAAUUCGUAGAUAUUCGCAAGAACACCAGUGGCGAAGGCGGCUCACUGGCCCGGUACUGACGCUG